rnacentral:rRNA from 1 species
UAUUCCCCACUGCUGCCUCCCGUAGGAGUUUGGGCCGUGUCUCAGUCCCAAUGUGGCCGUCCGUCCUCUCAGACCGGCUACGCAUCGUCGCCUUGGUGGGCCUCUGCCCCGCCAACUAGCUAAUGCGGCAUAGGUCCAUCCCUCCGCUGGCCUUGAAGGGCCAUUUAGCGUGCAGGAGAUGCCUCCUGCACGUCUAUGCGGUCUUAGCAGCCGUUUCCAGCUGUUGUCCCCCUCGGAGGGGCAGGUUACCUAUGUUGUCCUCACCCGUUCGCCACUGACCGCCGAAGCGGUCCGUACGACUUGCAUGUAUUAGGCACGCCGCCAGCGUUCAUCCUGAGCCAA